GUUCUGUGUUAAAUUUGCAAUUAUAAAUACUUGCAGGAAGUGAUGGCAAAGAAGGGCAAAGGGAAGUGUACAAAGGAAAAGGACAGUGAGAGUGGCCAGGAAGCGCGAAGAAGAAAACAGGGAAAGGGAAAAGAACCAAGCAAACGGACUAUAGUGAGACCAGUGAGCAUUGAGCAGGAAGAGAACCAACAAGAAGGGGCAGGAGUACACUGACGCGCACGACCAAGACCACUGCAUUCCAUUUCUAUUGUAUUAUAAUUAUCACUAAUAAAGAAUUAAUUCUGUUGAAAUCACU